AUCUCUCUUCUAUUCACGGAGUACUUUUGAAUUUUCAGUUCUUCAAAAUAUUUACCUCUCUUCAUUUUCUCAUCAAUCUCCUAUAAUUUAAGGAGAACAUUCACGUCUAGUGGAUUUAACCACUGGUUGCACGAUGUCGAAGCUAGCAAAGGAUAGUGUUAACAUUCUAUCUAAUAUCACCAUCUUUUCAUGUCAAAAUUUUGUUAUUUUGGCUUUUGCUUAAAUGUCAUAGUUGUUUUUAAAAAAAGGAUAUUCAUGAAAUUGCACGUAGAUAUCAAUAGUAACUUGAAACAUGUUUAUAUAUUGCAUGAAUUUUGUGCUUA